CCUACGGGAGGCAGCAGUGAGGAAUAUUGGUCAAUGGACGAGAGUCUGAACCAGCCAAGUAGCGUGAAGGAUGACUGCCCUAUGGGUUGUAAACUUCUUUUAUAUGGGAAUAAAACGUUCCACGUGUGGGAUUUUGUAUGUACCAUAUGAAUAAGGAUCGGCUAACUCCGUGCCAGCAGCCGCGGUAAUACGGAGGAUCCGAGCGUUAUCCGGAUUUAUUGGGUUUAAAGGGAGCGUAGGUGGAUUGUUAAGUCAGUUGUGAAAGUUUGCGGCUCAACCGUAAAAUUGCAGUUGAAACUGGCAGUCUUGAGUACAGUAGAGGUGGGCGGAAUUCGUGGUGUAGCGGUGAAAUGCUUAGAUAUCGCGAAGAACUCCGAUUGCGAAGGCAGUUCACUGGACUGCAACUGACACUGAGGCUCGAAAGUGUGGGUAUCAAACAGGAUUAGAUACCCGUGUAGUC
rnacentral:rRNA from 1 species